rnacentral:rRNA from 1 species
UAGGGAAUCUUCGGCAAUGGACGAAAGUCUGACCGAGCAACGCCGCGUGAGUGAAGAAGGUUUUCGGAUCGUAAAACUCUGUUGUUAGAGAAGAACAAGGACGUUAGUAACUGAACGUCCCCUGACGGUAUCUAACCAGAAAGCCACGGCUAACUACGUGCCAGCAGCCGCGGUAAUACGUAGGUGGCAAGCGUUGUCCGGACUUAUUGGGCGUAAAGCGAGCGUAGGCGGUUUCUUAAGUCUGAUGUGAAAGCCCCCGGCUCAACCGGGGAGGGGCGUUGGAAGCUGGGAGACUUGAGUGCAGAAGAGGAGGGUGGAAUUCAAUGUGUAGCGGUGAAAUGCGUAGAUAUAUGGAGGAACACCAGUGGCGAAGGCGGCUCUCUGGUCUGUAACUGACGCUGGGGCUCGAGAGCGUGGGGAGCAAACAGG